rnacentral:lncRNA from 10 species
CAAAUACACUGGGGGAAGGGGGUGGAUCCAGUGGUGCGCCGGGAAUGAACUGACCCAAGUGAGCUGGGACAUGUGCAUACAGAGAGCAGAGGCAGAAGUCAAGGAACUGGAGGCUGAGGAACCCAGCGGACCACGAAAGCAGGGAGAUAACUAGACAGCAUGCUCGGCUGGAAGGACCAAAGUCAGAGAAGGAAAAAUGAAUAAGAAAAUGAGCAGUCAGAGGCAGCUAGGGUGACGGACAGACAGCAUGAAGCGCAGCAGAAUGAAUAGCCAGAAGACUCGGACAGGCAGAGCCGAAGGACCGCAGAGCUCAGCGCCGGAGACAUGAAAACUGAGGCCCAGACCAGCUAAGCAUUUUGAUCACGGUCACCCAGAGCCACAGUGGAGAUCAGGAGAAAACUGAUUCCCAGGCCAGUGCUCUUUUGCUUCUACUCGGUCAGAGGUGUGGGGUCCUUCGAGACAGUGGUUGGCUGCAGGCUCCUGGACAGAUCCGCACCUUCAUAGCUGUGUGAAGGAGAUUUCCCACGUUGGCAUAGCAGCCACUGGGGAGCUGGUUUCCUGCCAUCCACUUGAGAGCAUCCUGGAUGUUCUUGGGAUCAAUGAAGAUGAAUUUCUGAGCUUGGCCAAAGCAUUUUGUGACAA